rnacentral:rRNA from 1 species
GGAUUAGAUACCCUGGUAGUCCAUGCCGUAAACGUUGGGCACUAGGUGUGGGGGACAUUCCACGUUUUCCGCGCCGUAGCUAACGCAUUAAGUGCCCCGCCUGGGGAGUACGGCCGCAAGGCUAAAACUCAAAGAAAUUGACGGGGGCCCGCACAAGCGGCGGAGCAUGCGGAUUAAUUCGAUGCAACGCGAAGAACCUUACCAAGGCUUGACAUGAACCGGAAAGGCGUAGAAAUACGUCCCCCACUUGUGGUCGGUUUACAGGUGGUGCAUGGUUGUCGUCAGCUCGUGCCG